rnacentral:rRNA from 1 species
AUGAACGCUGACAGAAUGCUUAACACAUGCAAGUCAACUUGAACUUCGGUUUGGGUGGCGGACGGGUGAGUAACGCGUAAAGAACUUGCCUCACAGCUAGGGACAACAUUUGGAAACGAAUGCUAAUACCUGAUAUUAUGAUUUUAGGGCAUCCUAGAAUUAUGAAAGCUAUAUGCGCUGUGAGAGAGCUUUGCGUCCCAUUAGCUAGUUGGAGAGGUAACGGCUCACCAAGGCGAUGAUGGGUAGCCGGCCUGAGAGGGUGAACGGCCACAAGGGGACUGAGACACGGCCCUUACUCCUACGGGAGGCAGCAGUGGGGAAUAUUGGACAAUGGACCAAGAGUCUGAUCCAGCAAUUCUGUGUGCACGAUGAAGUUUUUCGGAAUGUAAAGUGCUUUCAGUUGGGAAGAAAAAAAUGACGGUACCAACAGAAGAAGAGACGGCUAAAUACGUG